AAUAGUGUGAAACUGCCUUCUGCAGUCAGGAAUACACUAUUCAAGAAAGACCCCAAUGCUAGAGGCAGGUACAAUCUCUACAUGGUAGAUGGCAAAUAUAUUUUCAAGGAAAGAGAGUCAUCUGAUGGCUGGAACAUUUUGAAGUUUUUGAGAACUUCUGCUCUGGUUCCCUAAAUCUCAAUUCCAUUCACAUCUCUCAGAGGGUCACAGUAGACAGCUUUGGAAACUAUACCUCCUGUGGACAAAUUGACUUCUCCUGAGGUGGAUCUUGGAAAACUCUGGAAACUGAAAAUCUCACAAGGGGCAGCAGUAAAGAAACAGAGCUGAACAGCAGAGGGAAGGGUGCUCUCUGCAUGGCUUUGCCAUCUGUCCCAUCAGUCCUGCCAGGUGCUCUGCUGGGGAGCUAAAGUCCUCCUCCUCCUUCAUCGUAUUCUUCCUCCCUUCAUGUCCUCUCCUUCCUCAUUCCCUCAUUCCUUA
rnacentral:lncRNA from 1 species